AGUCGUAACAAGGUUUCCGUAGGUGAACCUGCGGAAGGAUCAUUAUCAAUGUUAAUAAAACUACACCUUAUCUUUUUUGGAAGGGAGGGUUUACUCUCUCUCUUUCACAAAAAGAUAGGCACACUUUGUGAAUAACUAUGAAGUCCAUUUAUAACCAAUUUUUACUCCGUAGUCUAAUAUUUCUAUUUUUUUGAUACCUUCUUUGCUGUACUUAGGUACUUCAAAGUAGGCUAAAGAAAAAUAAAAAACCACAUUACAAUCUUUAACGAUGGAUAUCUCGGCUCGU
rnacentral:misc_RNA from 1 species